rnacentral:rRNA from 1 species
UGGGGAAUUUUGCGCAAUGGGGGAAACCCUGACGCAGCAACGCCGCGUGAGUGAUGAAGGCCUUCGGGUCGUAAAGCUCUGUCAGAGGGGAAGAAGUGCAGGGGCGCUAAUAUCGCUUUUGCUUGACGGUACCCUCAAAGGAAGCACCGGCUAACUCCGUGCCAGCAGCCGCGGUAAUACGGAGGGUGCGAGCGUUGUUCGGAAUUAUUGGGCGUAAAGCGCGUGUAGGCGGUUUGGUAAGUCUGAGGUGAAAGUCCCGGGCUGAACAUGGGAAGAGAAUGUGUAACUUCUAGACGUGUCUGAAGUGUAUGGGGGUGGACUGUGUCGGGGAGGAGUGAAAGCAGUAGAGAGUAGGCGGAACAGCGGUGGAGAAGGCGGGGAACUGGAUCAUUAUUGACGCUGAG